GACGAACGCUGGCGGCGUGCUUAACACAUGCAAGUCGAACGGAAAGGCCCUGCAUUUGUGGGGUGCUCGAGUGGCGAACGGGUGAGUAACACGUGAGUAACCUGCCCUUGACUUUGGGAUAACUUCAGGAAACUGGGGCUAAUACCGGAUAGGAGCUCCUGCUGCAUGGUGGGGGUUGGAAAGUUUCGGCGGUUGGGGAUGGACUCGCGGCUUAUCAGCUUGUUGGUGGGGUAGUGGCUUACCAAGGCUUUGACGGGUAGCCGGCCUGAGAGGGUGACCGGCCACAUUGGGACUGAGAUACGGCCCAGACUCCUACGGGAGGCAGCAGUGGGGAAUAUUGCACAAUGGGCGGAAGCCUGAUGCAGCAACGCCGCGUGCGGGAUGACGGCCUUCGGGUUGUAAACCGCUUUCGCCUGUGACGAAGCGUGAGUGACGGUAAUGUGUAAAGAAGCACCGGCUAACUACGUG
rnacentral:rRNA from 1 species